GGGGGCGCCAGGUCUCGACGGGGUAGUGGUCUGCAAGAUGGCGAGCCGUGUCGCCGAGCACGUAAAAGCGGCAAGGCUAUAAACGCCAAUCGCGAACUGGCUUACGCUGCGUAAGUAGCGAAAGUCACCCGGGGAUUUAUCCCCGGCGCCGGCCCGCUCUGCGUCAGCAGGAGCGGAGCCCGGCGUAAACUCCGCUGACUCGCUCCCGGCGGGCGUCGCGGCCGUUGGGGGGACUCAAUACCGCGACUGGCCUGUCCGGAUCCGCUCCCAGGGGAGCCGGGUAGGUGAGAUGCAAAACCGGGAGUACGCUCGUAGAUGUCUUGCGGGACGCUGCUUCGGACGCGAGUUCGAUUCUCGCCGCCUCCACCA
rnacentral:tmRNA from 1 species